CUUUAUACCUACGUGGCGUCUGGCCUUAGGUGCUCCAUGUAAACUACAAGUAAGAUCCUCACAUUUCUUUUAAAAUUGAAUAUCUGAUUUAAUAUUAUAACAUUUUUUAAUUACUUUAUUAGUGUGUUUAACAUAUAAAUUUCAGAGUUUCUCUGAUCACGGCUUAAGGGAUGUGAGGUUUAUGCCUAUAUCCCAUGUCGGUCACACUUGAUUUUUGGGGUGGGACAAUCUUUCCACCUUAGAAAGGCUUCUGUUUCAAUCUCUUCAUAUAUUCUUAAACAAAUUGCCAAGAAAACCGCACAUGUGGCUUGAACUGCAAGGACUCUGGUUUGUUACACGAAUUGACAAUAUGUAUUAUGUAGUUAACUUUGCAUGGGAAUAUGGCAACAUUUGUUCUCAAUAUGUCAAUCUGAUACAUAGAGCAGAGUGUAACUUUUGAAUUAUAUAAUAUUCUAUCUACAAGCACUUCGUGGA